rnacentral:rRNA from 1 species
GAUGAACGCUGGCGGCGUGCCUAAUACAUGCCAGUCGAGCGAACGGACGAGAAGCUUGGUUCUCUGAUGUUAGCGGCGGACGGGUGAGUAACACGUGGAUAACCUACCUAUAAGACUGGGAUAACUUCGGGAAACCGGAGCUAAUACCGGAUAAUAUUUUGAACCGCAUGGUUCAAAAGUGAAAGACGGUCUUGCUGUCACUUAUAGAUGGAUCCGCGCUGCAUUAGCUAGUUGGUAAGGUAACGGCUUACCAAGGCAACGAUGCAUAGCCGACCUGAGAGGGUGAUCGGCCACACUGGAACUGAGACACGGUCCAGACUCCUACGGGAGGCAGCAGUAGGGAAUCUUCCGCAAUGGGCGAAAGCCUGACGGAGCAACGCCGCGUGAGUGAUGAAGGUCUUCGGAUCGUAAAACUCUGUUAUUAGGGAAGAACAUAUGUGUAAGUAACUGUGCACAUCUUGACGGUACCUAAUCAGAAAGCCACGGCUAACUACGUG